rnacentral:SRP_RNA from 1 species
GGGAAAGUCUUACACGACCAGCUCCCUUCGAAUUCCCCCAGGGCUUGAUCGCAGCAAGGGUAGAAGGUCGUAGCGGUGCGAUGUAAUCAGCUUUCCCUUU